CCUACGGGAGGCUGCAGUGGGGAAUAUUGCACAAUGGGGGAAACCCUGAUGCAGCGACGCCGCGUGAGUGAUGACGUAUCUCGGUUCGUAAAGCUCUGUCAUCAGGGAAGAAAAUGACGGUACCUGACUAGGAAGCCACGGCUAACUACGUGCCAGCAGCCGCGGUAAUACGUAGGUGGCCAGCGUUGUCCGGAUUUACUGGGCGUAAAGGGAGCGUAGGCGGCAUCACAAGUCUGGAGUGAAAUCCCCGGGCUUAACCCCGGUGCUGCAUUGGAAACUGUGCGGCUAGAGUGCAGGAGGGGAAAGCGGAAGUCCUAGUGUAGCGGUGAAAUGCGUAGAGAUUAGGAGGAACACCAGUGGCGAAGGCGACUUACUGGACUGUAACUGACGUUGAGGCUCGAAAGCGUGGGGAGCAAACAGGAUUAGAUACCCCUGUAGUC
rnacentral:rRNA from 1 species